CUGGCAGUUAACUGGAUGCUUCAGGUGGAAACUGGGGAAUGAUGAUGUUGUUGGCGCUGUGAACCGAGGAGGGAGCUGGUGGCGGCUGGCGGCAGAUGGAGAAUGGAGACCUGGGUCACAUGAUGGGGGAGCCACUGAGUCUGAACGUUGGCGGUUGCGUUUACAGCACGUCACUGUCCACGCUGAGGCGCUAUCCCGACUCCCUGCUGGGCGCCAUGUUUAGAGGAGAUCUGCCGAUGGUCAAAGAUUCCCGCGGGAACUACUUCAUCGACCGGGACGGCCCGUUGUUCCGCUACAUCCUAAACUUCUUGCGCUCAUCGGAGCUGACGUUGCCCUGCGGCUUCAAGGAGAUGGCGCUGCUCCGUAAAGAGGCGGACUUCUACCAGAUCGAGCCCCUGAUCCAGUGCCUGGGAGACCCCAGGCCGCUGCUGCCGUACCCGACCGACACCUACGAGGAAGUGGUGGAGCUGUCCAGCACCAGGAAGCUGUCCAAGUACUCCAACCCGGUGGCAGUCAUCAUCACCCAGCUCACCAUCACCACUAAGGUUCCUCACCUCCACUCUCACGUCUCUAUUGUUAUAAUUAUUAUUGAGCUAUUGAUUUUACUUUUUAUUGUCUUUACCUGCGGUUCUUUAACUGACCAAGAUGUUUCCAGAAGAUCCAAAUCCUUUUGCCUUCAGCUGAGGGAAAAAAACUCACUGUCAUGAAAAAAUAUCAUGUGUUUCUUUUAAUAAAUAACUUAAGACAGAAUAAAAAUAGCUUAAACUGGUCAGAAUUAGUCAUGUGUUUUAUGAAUUUAUGUCAAAUCUUUUCUCCAAUUUUCUGCCUGGGUUUUUUAUUAAAAGACCUUCACUGGCCCCCAUUCAGCCCUCCUUAGAAACCUGCUGGAUGCGCCCCUGCUUGGCAACCCAAAGGAUUCAUUCAGCAUGAGCAUUAAUAUCAACGCGCUGAUAGCUUUAAAUAUUUCAAAUGUGACAAAUUAAAUUAAAACUCACUGAAGGGUUGAGCGCCGCGGCUCUGAGGCACAUUGAUGAAUAUCGUUAUUAAUUCAAACUCUUGUUGGUUCUGCUUCGCCUCCUGCACCGCUGAGCGCGUCCGUCCGCUCAGCUUGAUGUCAGGAUGCGCCGGCAGAAAUGCAGACCUGUUGAGGAAAGCUGUUACCAUGGAAACGGAUUUAAACCCUAGACCAUGCAAAGUCUCUGCUCCAAGACCGACAUGACUGCUGCAGACUCUGGUCACAACGUCGGGUUAAGGUCCAGUCGGUGCUGGAAUCCGUCUCCAGCAGCUUCACCAAGUGGACCAAACACAUGAUGGACAGCAGAGACUUCCAGGUUUCCUUCACGUUUGGACCGUGUGACUACC